UACAGAGGUCUCAAGCGUUGUUCGGAUUCAUUGGGCGUAAAGGGUGCGUAGGCGGCGCGGUAAGUCGGGUGUGAAAUCUCAGAGCUCAACUCUGAAACUGCACUCGAUACUGCUUUGCUUGAGGACUGGAGAGGAGAUUGGAAAUUCACGGUGUAGCAGUGAAAUGCGUAGAUAUCGUGAGGAACACCCGUAGCGAAGGCGGCACUCUGGGCCGAUACUGACACUGAGGAGCGAAAGCGUGGGGAGCGAACAGG
rnacentral:rRNA from 1 species